CCCCUGGAAGACUAGUGGUUAGGCCUCGGUGCUCUCACCGCUGCAGCCCGGGUUCAAUUCCCGGUCAGGGAA
rnacentral:tRNA from 1 species